rnacentral:lncRNA from 1 species
CAGCUUACAACCACUAAGUAAGAGGAUUUAGAAAAUUCACCUUUGAUUUUGCCUUUUUAGCUGCAGAAAACAAAGCUAAAGGAGGUGCACUACACUGAGCCACAGUGACUUGAUCCUCAAUCUGAGGUAGUUUAUCAUUACAAAGUCUUUUCCUUGCCGCUGAGCUUGCCUUAAGCCUAGUAGCAUUUCUUUUUUUUUUGAGCUAGCACCUUGAAGCAGACUCCUAUUUCCCCUCGGUUUUGCCGACCUAAGGAGCUUUCUUUUGGUUGUGGCUCUGGUUCUAGGAGGGUGCUCCUGGAUGGUGAUUGUGACUUGUUGUUGUUCUUGGGUUAAUCUGUGAGAAACAGAACUUCUUGCCUCCUCCCUCAGCUGGUCUUGAUGCAAAGACAGAUGAUGACUAAGUGUGGGGUGGAUAGGAGAAGAGUUUAGAUACGAUGACCAAGAUCACGAGCUCCGUUAUUAGGUCUGUAGUUGAUAUCCUUAACAUUAGCUCUAAAGCUAGGCCUAUCUCUUCGAUACUCCUACCUAGCAUGGGGUCGGCUUGUUGAUCUAACAUGAGUAGAAGUCAUGUGAUACUGGCGAGGAGACGACCUCCUCACAUGUCUCUAGUCUGAAUUGACCGGGUGUGUAGUGAUCCGACUCUCGUGCUUUCUCUUUAGACAAGAAAUAUACUACUUCCAAGUAAUGUAUGUGGGUUCUUAACCAAUUU